rnacentral:rRNA from 1 species
AUUGAACGCUGGCGGCAUGCCUUACACAUGCAAGUCGAACGGUAACAGGUCUUCGGAUGCCGACGAGUGGCGAACGGGUGAGUAAUACAUCGGAACGUGCCCGAUCGUGGGGGAUAACGGAGCGAAAGCUUUGCUAAUACCGCAUACGAUCUACGGAUGAAAGCAGGGGACCGCAAGGCCUUGCGCGGACGGAGCGGCCGAUGGCAGAUUAGGUAGUUGGUGGGAUAAAAGCUUACCAAGCCGACGAUCUGUAGCUGGUCUGAGGGGACGACCAGCCACACUGGGACUGAGACACGGCCCAGACUCCUACGGGAGGCAGCAGUGGGGAAUUUUGGACAAUGGGCGAAAGCCUGAUCCAGCCAUGCCGCGUGCAGGAUGAAGGCCUUCGGGUUGUAAACUGCUUUUGUACGGAACGAAAAGCCUCUUUCUAAUAAAGAGAGGUCAUGACGGUACCGUAAGAAUAAGCACCGGCUAACUACGUGCCAGCCGCCGCAGUAAAAC